CCUACGGGAGGCAGCAGUGGGGAAUAUUGCGCAAUGGGGGAAACCCUGACGCAGCAACGCCGCGUGGAGGAAGAAGGUCUUCGGAUUGUAAACUCCUGUCUUCAGGGACGAAUUAAUGACGGUACCUGAGGAGGAAGCCACGGCUAACUACGUGCCAGCAGCCGCGGUAAU
rnacentral:rRNA from 1 species